AUUGAACGCUGGCGGCAUGCCUUACACAUGCAAGUCGAACGGCAGCGCGGGAGCAAUCCUGGCGGCGAGUGGCGAACGGGUGAGUAAUACAUCGGAACGUGCCCAAUCGUGGGGGAUAACGCAGCGAAAGCUGCGCUAAUACCGCAUACGAUCUACGGAUGAAAGCAGGGGAUCGCAAGACCUUGCGCGAAUGGAGCGGCCGAUGGCAGAUUAGGUAGUUGGUGAGGUAAAGGCUCACCAAGCCUUCGAUCUGUAGCUGGUCUGAGAGGACGACCAGCCACACUGGGACUGAGACACGGCCCAGACUCCUACGGGAGGCAGCAGUGGGGAAUUUUGGACAAUGGGCGAAAGCCUGAUCCAGCCAUGCCGCGUGCAGGAUGAAGGCCUUCGGGUUGUAAACUGCUUUUGUACGGAACGAAACGGUCUUUUCUAAUAAAGAAGGCUAAUGACGGUACCGUAAGAAUAAGCACCGGCUAACUACGUG
rnacentral:rRNA from 1 species